rnacentral:rRNA from 1 species
CCUACGGGAGGCAGCAGUGGGGAAUAUUGGACAAUGGGGGCAACCCUGAUCCAGCCAUGCCGCGUGUGUGAAGAAGGCCCUCGGGUUGUAAAGCACUUUCAGUGAGGAAGAACGCCUGGUGGUUAAUACCCAUCAGGAAAGACAUCACUCACAGAAGAAGCACCGGCUAACUCCGUGCCAGCAGCCGCGGUAAUACGGAGGGUGCGAGCGUUAAUCGGAAUUACUGGGCGUAAAGCGCGCGUAGGUGGCUUGAUAAGCCGGUUGUGAAAGCCCCGGGCUCAACCUGGGAACGGCAUCCGGAACUGUCAAUCUAGAGUGCAGGAGAGGAAGGUAGAAUUCCCGGUGUAGCGGUGAAAUGCGUAGAGAUCGGGAGGAAUACCAGUGGCGAAGGCGGCCUUCUGGACUGACACUGACACUGAGGUGCGAAAGCGUGGGUAGCAAACAGGAUUAGAUACCCCAGUAGUC